rnacentral:rRNA from 1 species
UAAUGCAAGUCGAGCGGACAGAUGGGAGCUUGCUCCCUGAUGUUAGCGGCGGACGGGUGAGUAACACGUGGGUAACCUGCCUGUAAGACUGGGAUAACUCCGGGAAACCGGGGCUAAUACCGGAUGGUUGUUUGAACCGCAUGGUUCAAACAUAAAAGGUGGCUUCGGCUACCACUUACAGAUGGACCCGCGGCGCAUUAGCUAGUUGGUGAGGUAACGGCUCACCAAGGCAACGAUGCGUAGCCGACCUGAGAGGGUGAUCGGCCACACUGGGACUGAGACACGGCCCAGACUCCUACGGGAGGCAGCAGUAGGGAAUCUUCCGCAAUGGACGAAAGUCUGACGGAGCAACGCCGCGUGAGUGAUGAAGGUUUUCGGAUCGUAAAGCUCUGUUGUUAGGGAAGAACAAGUACCGUUCGAAUAGGGCGGUACCUUGACGGUACCUAACCAGAAAGCCACGGCUAACUACGUGCCAGCAGCCGCGGUAAUACGUAGGUGGCAAGCGUUGUCCGGAAUUAUUGGGCGUAAAGGGCUCGCAGGCGGUUUCUUAAGUCUGAUGUGAAAGCCCCCGGCUCAACCGGGGAGGGUCAUUGGAAACUGGGGAACUUGAGUGCAGAAGAGGAGAGUGGAAUUCCACGUGUAGCGGUGAAAUGCGUAGAGAUGUGGAGGAACACCAGUGGCGAAGGCGACUCUCUGGUCUGUAACUGACGCUGAGGAGCGAAAGCGUGGGGAGCGAACAGGAUUAGAUACCCUGGUAGUCCACGCCGUAAACGAUGAGUGCUAAGUGUUAGGGGGUUUCCGCCCCUUAGUGCUGCAGCUAACGCAUUAAGCACUCCGCCUGGGGAGUACGGUCGCAAGACUGAAACUCAAAGGAAUUGACGGGGGCCCGCACAAGCGGUGGAGCAUGUGGUUUAAUUCAAAGCAACGCGAAGAACCUUACCAGGUCUUGACAUCCUCUGACAAUCCUAGAGAUAGGACGUCCCCUUCGGGGGCAGAGUGA